rnacentral:rRNA from 1 species
CCUACGGGAGGCAGCAGUAGGGAAUAUUGGGCAAUGGAGGCAACUCUGACCCAGCCAUGCCGCGUGCAGGAAGAAGGCGUUAUGCGUUGUAAACUGCUUUUAUAUAGGAAGAAAUAGACCUUGCGAGGUAAGUUGACGGUACUAUAUGAAUAAGCACCGGCUAACUCCGUGCCAGCAGCCGCGGUAAUACGGAGGGUGCAAGCGUUGUCCGGAUUUAUUGGGUUUAAAGGGUGCGCAGGCGGUUUAUUAAGUCAGUGGUGAAAGACGGUCGCUCAACGAUUGCAGUGCCAUUGAUACUGGUAGACUUGAGUGGGAUUGAGGUAGCUGGAAUGGAUAGUGUAGCGGUGAAAUGCAUAGAUAUUAUCCAGAACACCAAUUGCGUAGGCAAGUUACUAAGUCUCAACUGACGCUGAGGCACGAAAGUGUGGGUAUCAAACAGGAUUAGAUACCCUGGUAGUCCACACUGUAAACGAUGAUAACUAACUGUUGGCUUUCGAGUCAGUGGUACAGAGAAAUCGUUAAGUUAUCCACCUGGGGAGUACGCCGGCAACGGUGAAACUUAAGGAAUUGACGGCUGAGAGNGACGAGGACGACGACGAGGGAGGAGG